AGCGAGCUUGCCUAGAUGAUUUUAGUGCUUGCACUAAAUGAAACUAGAUACAAGCGAGCGGCGGACGGGUGAGUAACACGUGGGUAACCUGCCCAAGAGACUGGGCUAACACCUGGAAACAGAUGCUAAUACCGGAUAACAACACUAGACGCAUGUCUAGAGUUUGAAAGAUGGUUCUGCUAUCACUCUUGGAUGGACCUGCGGUGCAUUAGCUAGUUGGUAAGGUAACGGCUUACCAAGGCAAUGAUGCAUAGCCGAGUUGAGAGACUGAUCGGCCACAUUGGGACUGAGACACGGCCCAAACUCCUACGGGAGGCAGCUGUAGGGAAUCUUCCACAAUGGACGAAAGUCUGAUGGAGCAACGCCGCGUGAGUGAAGAAGGGUUUCGGCUCGUAAAGCUCUGUUGGUAGUGAAGAAAGAUAGAGGUAGUAACUGGCCUUUAUUUGACGGUAAUUACUUAGAAAGUCACGGCUAACUACGUGCCAGCAGCCGCGGUAAUACGUAGGUGGCAAGCGUUGUCCGGAUUUAUUGGGCGUAAAGCGAGUGCAGGCGGUUCAAUAAGUCUGAUGUGAAAGCCUUCGGCUCAACCGGAGAAUUGCAUCAGAAACUGUUGAACUUGAGUGCGGAAGAGGAGAGUGGAACUCCAUGUGUAGCGGUGGAAUGCGUAGAUAUAUGGAAGAACACCAGUGGCGAAGGCGGCUCUCUGGUCUGCAACUG
rnacentral:rRNA from 1 species